rnacentral:rRNA from 1 species
AGAGUUUGAUCCUGGUUCAGAUUGAACGCUGGCGGCAGGCCUAACACAUGCAAGUCGAACGGUAGCACAGAGGAGCUUGCUCCUUGGGUGACGAGUGGCGGACGGGUGAGUAAUGUCUGGGAAACUGCCCGAUGGAGGGGGAUAACUACUGGAAACGGUAGCUAAUACCGCAUAACGUCGCAAGACCAAAGAGGGGGACCUUCGGGCCUCUUGCCAUCGGAUGUGCCCAGAUGGGAUUAGCUAGUAGGUGGGGUAACGGCUCACCUAGGCGACGAUCCCUAGCUGGUCUGAGAGGAUGACCAGCCACACUGGAACUGAGACACGGUCCAGACUCCUACGGGAGGCAGCAGUGGGGAAUAUUGCACAAUGGGCGCAAGCCUGAUGCAGCCAUGCCGCGUGUAUGAAGAAGGCCUUCGGGUUGUAAAGUACUUUCAGCGAGGAGGAAGGCGUUGUGGUUAAUAACCGCAACGAUUGACGUUACUCGCAGAAGAAGCACCGGCUAACUCCGUGCCAGCAGCCGCGGUAAAAGGG